rnacentral:tRNA from 1 species
GGAGAAAUGGCAGAGCGGUUGAAUGCACCAGUCUUGAAAACUGGCAUACCGAAGGGUAUCGGGGGUUCGAAUCCCUCUUUCUCCGCCA